CCAAACUUCAAUGAAUGUUCCAAAUAUGCAAAUGUUAUUUCCAGCGAAUGUUCCAGGAAGGCACUGUGGUCUGCGUACUUGUCUGAAAGCAGCAGUAUUAAUAAAACGUUCCGUCGACAGCCUUCCUCAUCCUUACAAGUACAUUCCAGAAAUCCACAUCCAACGACAUUAUCCUUCUCUCAGAAUGUAACAAAAGAUCAGUUGGCAUAAUCAUUUCAUAAAGUAUGUAAGAAAGGAAAAUAAAGAGAAUCCUAAAAAUUGCUCUCGUCCAUCUCCCAUUACAUUCGGCACAUGUUUUCAAUGGCAGGGAUCCAGUGUGAUGCCUGCACAUGACAUCACAGACAAAUAUGGCCACCACUGAGAUACGCAUUGUUUUGAGUCAGACUUAUGCAACUUUGCGCUUUUAUAAAACGUUCCCAGCUCACUUUUUCCCCAAAUGGUAUUAAAGUGUUUAAUAUUAUUCGUAGUUUUGAUAACAAUAUCUAUUUUAAAAUGUGAUUUUUGGUGUCAGUGGGACUUGAAAGUGAACAAUGAACAUUUAAAUUACACAGCAUAUAGUUGUAUACAGUCUGAGAUGACACGCUAUGGUGACCCCUAACGGGACAAGCCGAAAGAAACUUACUUUACUACACAGAAAAGUGAAAAGUGGAAAAAAAAAGAUGAUGAUUUUGGCGAUUGGUUAACAGGGUUAGACAAAAUAGACAGUUGUUUUGUUUUGGGUGGCACGGUUGGCCUCACAGUUCUGACGUCCCGGGUUCAAUCCCAGACCCACUUUUGUGGAGUUUGCAUGCUCUUCCCGUGCCUGUGUGGGUUUUUUCCGGGCAUUCCGGUUUCUUCCCACAUCCCAAAAAUAUCCAACAUUAAGGCUCUAAAUUGCUCCUAGGUGUGGUUUGUGAGUGUGGCUGUUCGUCCCUAUGUGCCCUGCGAUUGGCUGGCAACCAGUUCAUGGUGUGCCCCGCCUCCUGCCCGUUGACAGCUGCGAUAGGCUCCAGCAUUCCCUGCAACCCUUGUGAGGAUAAGCGGUGAAGAAAAUGGAUUGAUGGAGAACAUGAGUUGGCGAUCACUGGUGCUCUGGAGAUUAUGUUCAUUCAAGGACUACCAUGUACUAUUAAUGCGAUACGGCUCACAAGCAGUCAACAAAAGAAACGCUGCUAUCGCUAAUAUUUUUAAAAUUGCAUGACGAGGUACGGUACUAUUGAUCGUGAAGGCCCUGGGCAGAUUACGGUGACCUGGCAACACAAAAGAGGCGGAAAUCUGAUUGGACGUGACGAAAAGACAAAGACUACAAAAUGAAGACGAUGAUUGUCGGGAAGAAACGAGUACAUAGAAGAAAUGAGGUCGUACGUAUCGGUCAGCGCUGGAAGUUCUGCUCAUUGUCAUCGACGUCAGACUUCCUGACAGCGGCUAACAAAUUUCAGCGCAUUCGCGAGUGUUUGGAAACGGUUCUUCUUUUUCUUCUUCAAGUCAGCGGCGGGCGAGUUUUCGGGCCGGCGGCCAAGAGACGCGCUCGGCCUCGUCCAUCAGCCUUCUGUAAAUAUUUGGAGGAUUUGAUAGUAAACUUCACCUGGGAGUGUGACUUGACAGCUGGAAGCUUCCUUCUUCAUGAGUUAUCCACCAACUGACAAACUGCUGCUAAUGGCGUAGAAGUGAGUUGGGUCACUGCCACCAGACACAAAUGGCAUCUCGUUUGCGCUUAGAAGGCAAAGAGUGGACGCUCGUAUCGUAAAAAAAAAACACACACAUUAAGUUUCUUGUCUUGUUCUGCAAAGUUACGCUGACACAUGCAGUGCAUAAUAGAAGAUUUACGGAAACGCUUCAGAUACUGUACUUGCUAAAACGCGUCCACUCUAUUUUUUAAAACAUAGACUCGUCGUAGGUGGCAAGGUACGAAUCAAGGUCACCUUGCAUCCUCCGACCGAGACCACCUUUGUCUGCCAUUGGGAGGGCGCAGUGCAUUCUGGGUAAAGACGUUACGCAAAAAAAAAAAAAAAAAAAAAAAAAAAUCUUAUUUUCAUACAGAAGCAAUGAAACGCAAAAGGGUAUCCAAAUAUAAACUACUGUAGUAGGACGGAGCAUUUUUAGUGAUACUGUACGUGACUCAGGUUUGCCGUCAUACAACAGCACCAUCUGUUGACGCCAUCAAAGUACGACAGCAGUAUCAAGCUUUGCAAUUGAACAAGAAAUUAAUUUUUUUUAUCACGCACUCGAUUGCCACUAAAUUAAAUAAAAAAAAAACACAUUAUAUACAUGACAAUAGGAAUCAAUCAAUCACUCAAUCCACAAAAGGACUUACAAUGGACAUGACACUGAUAAUGUGUGUACAGUACUUCUAUUUGGACUGUCGAGUCAGAAAAAGGAUAAUAAUAAUAAUAAAAAAAAGACUCAUGGACAAGUGUUAGUGUGUGUUGCUGGAGCACCAAGAGAAGACCCUGCUUCUGCGAGGAGCUGCCAUUUGCGACUUUAUUUACAAGUAAACAAAAAAAUAGAGCUGACGUCGCUUCAUUUUGCUUCUUCCUAUUGACACUUUUUUUUUUUGUUUUGGUGAUGCUUCUAUUCUUUGGUUUCCAAAGCACAACAAAAUAGUCCCAGAGCACAGCCCAGUAGAGGACAAGUUUUCUUGCAUCAUAUUUAAAGAUAUAUUAUUAUUAUGAAUCUAUUGACAGCUUGCAUGACUUCCAUCAGGAACAGCAAUGCUUGUGCGUUUGGAUGCAUAGCGGCUGAUUGAAGCCAAGUGUGAGUGCACGUUCAUCCCGACUUUUGUUUGAAGGUUAGCGAGAGAAGCUAAUAAAAAAAAUAGCAAAUUUAUUUUGAUGAUUCCGAAUUUAUCUGCUAGAUAUGCAAUUUCAAGCCAAAAGGGCUUUUUUACUUUGAUUUAACAGUGACUUCAUAACACGGGCCAAAUUCAAGCUAGUACUGUAAUUUCCAGACUAUAAGCCGCAACUUUUUUCACACGCUUUCAACCCUGCGGUUAAUGCGGCUGAUUUGCGAUUCUUUUUUUCUAACCGCCGCAAGGGGCACUCGAGCGGAAAAGGUAAGUGUGAGACCAGUGGAAUAUAUGUAUCAAGGAAGUGACUUUUGCCGGUAUUUAUUAUUAUUAUUUUUUUUAAAACAGCCGUUAGCACCGCGCUAGCGCCCCAUCCUCCUUUUGUUCCCCCAUAUUGUCUGUGUCUCACAAACUCAACAGUGUGUGCGUUAACAUGGAUAUUUAAAUUUUUGUGUACACGUGUCACUAGAAGUUAGCGUGGUGCUAUGCUGCUGUGUUACUGCCACGUCUCAGUGAUUUUGUUUUGUUUUUUAACCGGCCCCAUUAGCGCUGUGCUCCCAUAUUGCUACUGUGUAGCUCCUGAGGCCGUUUUUUUUUUU